CGACUCCUUUAUGCAAUAAGAACAUACAGUGGGCUGAACCGAAUAAUGUAGGUUUUAUUGAAUACAACGGUGUAGCCAUUUUGAAAGUUUGUUAAAGACUAAAUUCGACUAAUUCUACUUCAACUGGAUUAAUACCUUGCGAGAUCAGUAUUUUGUAAUGGCCGAUGUGUUCAAUAUGACGUUUUACCUGCUCUUUUUAAUGUCGUUUAUACAAGUUAUUACAGCCGAGUUUUGUACCUAUUAUUAUGACUAUUAUAUCAACUCAGACACCCGGUAUUGCUCUAAUGGAUGUUGUAUUUCCGGCAACAGCGCCACCUAUAACAACGUAUGCUGCCCUGACUAUGCUACUAGCAGUUCUAAUGUCGGCGUCAUCGUAGGAAUAGUAGUAGGUGUAGCGGUAUUAAUUAUCACUGUCAUAGUGGUGAUAGUUAUUAUAGUAUGCUGUUGUUGUAAACGACAAUCAGCAACACAGGGUCAUGUUUUUGCAGCCCCAAACACAGCUGUGGUAUUUUCUAAUACUACCCAAACAAGUAACAUGUAUCCAGGAGUUGGUUAUCCUCCACCAAACGCUUUUACCCCUCCACAUGGAACAAAUAACUCAUCGUCGCCUUCAGGUGGACAUUUCGCUAAUCCACCAUCUUAUGAUACAGUUACCUCCCCUGGACAAGAUAGCAAGGGUUUCGAUACACAUGUCAACAUGAAUUAGUUAUGAUUUAGAAUUGUUAUUAACUGUAUAUAGAUAGAGUUACUAUUUUUCAUAUUUUUUAAUUAUUUUCCGUUGAAAUAGAAUUUAAGAAGUCUUGCCAAAUACAUUAUUGCACAGAGACCCACCAUCGUACGAUACAGUUACCUCCCUUGGACAAGAUAGCAAGGGCUUCGAUACCCAUGUCAACAUAAAAUAGUUAUGAUUUAGAGUUGUUAUUAACUUAUAUAGAUAGUUACUAUUUUUGUUAAAUUUGUUUUAUUUUCCGGAAAAAUAUAAAAUUUAAGAAGUCUUGCCAGAUACAUUAUUGCACAGCGACCUUCAUCCGCUUUCCCCCCAUUUCCGAGAGAAUCAACAUUAUAAGCUGUAACUAUAAGACCAGGUGAACUAUAGGCUAUAGAAUUUAUAUUAUGACAUUAAAUUUACAAACAUAACAAUGUUUAUUACAAAAUACACUGUGAUUUAUUAAAGAAUACAAUCAGGAAUCUGGAUAGCUACUGUAAAUAUUUAUGCAAUUGUUGAUUUUUUUAAAAACAAAAGUAGAUAGAUAGGGGUAUCAUUCAUUUGUUGUUUAUUUCUUACUAUGUAUGUAGUUUGUCUUAUAUGUGGUAUACUAAAAUAACAAUCUGUUUUAUAAUAUGCCCUGUAUCAUCGUGAUACAUAUUGAAAGUGUUUAUAUAUAUUUUGAUUAUUUUUUUGUACUUUUUUUUAUUAUGUAAUAAUCAGGAUAUAUUAUCGAUGUUGACUAUAGCAAGUCAUUUGUGUUGCCUUGUAAUAUAUAUUCGAUGUUGACUAUAUCAAGUCAUUUGUGUUGCCUUGUAAUUAUAGUAAAAUAAAUAAAUACAAAUCUAGUGACUUGGUAUCCUAGAGAUCAAGAAGACCUAUACCCUAUUUUAAAGUCCGUAACUCAAUAUCAUCCAAAAUCUUCGACAUUGAAAACACGAAUUUUUUUGCAAUUUAAAUCAGCAUUGGUGUUGUGAUCUUACCUGGAAAAGAUGGGCUUCUCAUAUCCAAUAUUUAAGACAAAAUAAACAUUUUACCAUUGGUACACGAAUCGUGUACCAUAAUGCGUUUCAGCGCCAUUUGUAACAAGGUGCUCAAAGAAUGGGGUUAGACAUAUUCCACAAGUCAUGUCAAACGGUGAUAUCAUAUUCUUAUUUGGAGAGCAUGCGCAAUAAAUAAUAUCGGUGUUGACUGGAAUAACCAGACUCUAGAAACUGACUUGCGGUUGAGACUUCUGGCGUAUUUCGCCGAACAUAACUAAUGACAAUUCACAGUAAAACGGACACGAUUGAAUGUAAAACAGUUUAUAUAAAUUCAUAUUACAUUAUUAUGUGUGUUGCGACUCAUUUGUGCCAAUUUCUAGGUCGAAAAUAUUAGCGAUUUAGCUCCUUUAAAUCAAUUACCAAAAUCAAUUACAUUACGUAAGAUUUAGAUAAAGAGCUGACCGUUCUUGCUAUAAUAGAUCAAAAAUAGAUAAUGUAAAAUAAAUAUAUUGAAUAAUUCAUUAAAAUUACUUUAUCACUGUU